rnacentral:rRNA from 1 species
AGAGUUUGAUCCUGGCUCAGAAUCAACGCUGGCGGCGUGCCUCAGACAUGCAAGUCGAACGCGAAAGAGACCUUCGGGUUUCGAGUAGAGUGGCGCCCGGGUGAGUAACACGUAGGUAAUCUACCUUCGGGUGGGGAAUAACGCAGGGAAACUUGCGCUAAUACCGCAUAAUGCAGCGGCACCACAUGGUGACAGUUGUUAAAGCGGGGGAUUUUCGGACCUCGCGCCUGAAGAGGAGCCUGCGGCAGAUUAGCUAGUUGGUAGGGUAACGGCUUACCAAGGCGACGAUCUGUAGCCGGCCUGAGAGGGCGGUCGGCCACACUGACACUGACAUACGGGUCAGACUCCUACGGGAGGCAGCAGUCGGGAAUUUUGGGCAAUGGGCGAAAGCCUGACCCAGCAACGCCGCGUGAAGGAUGAAAUCCUUCGGGAUGUAAACUUCGCAAGAAUGGGAAGAAUGAACGAGCGCUAACACCGUUCGUGAUGACGGUACCAUUUGUAAGCUCCGGCUAACUCCGUGCCAGCAGCCGCGGUAAUAC